GCUGAUCCAUGAUGACGACUAUGCAUGAGACUGUUGGAUGAAUCUAGCGGAUAUGGGACUGAGAUCAACU